rnacentral:rRNA from 1 species
GAUGAACGCUGGCGGCGUGCCUAAUACAUGCAAGUCGAGCGAACGGACGAGAAGCUUGCUUCUCUGAUGUUAGCGGCGGACGGGUGAGUAACACGUGGAUAACCUACCUAUAAGACUGGGAUAACUUCGGGAAACCGGAGCUAAUAUCGGAUGAUAUUUUGAACCGCAUGGUUCAAAAGUGAAAGACGGUCUUGCUGUCACUUAUAGAUGGAUCCGCGCUGCAUUAGCUAGUUGGUAAGGUAACGGCUUACCAAGGCAACGAUGCAUAGCCGACCUGAGAGGGUGAUCGGCCACACUGGAACUGAGACACGGUCCAGACUCCUACGGGAGGCAGCAGUAGGGAAUCUUCCGCAAUGGGCGAAAGCCUGACGGAGCAACGCCGCGUGAGUGAUGAAGGUCUUCGGAUCGUAAAACUCUGUUAUUAGGGAAGAACAUAUGUGUAAGUAACUGUGCACAUCUUGACGGUACCUAAUCAGAAAGCCACGGCUAACUACGUG